CGAGGUGGCUUGUAUGAGUCUUCAGCAUUCUCAGCUGGAGGGUGACCAGGGUUGUGACCAUAAUGUGGUGGCUUCUCUCCCUUAGGUGGUUUGCCAACUGGGGUUGGUGGCUUGUAUGAGUCUUCAGCAUUCUCAGCAGGAGGGUGACCAGGGUUGUGACCAUAAUGUGGUGGCUUCUCUCCCUUAGGUGGUUUGCCAACUGGGGUUGGUGGCUUGUGUUCUGGGAGUGGCUUCUCCCCCUUGGGAGGUUUUUCCAAUGGGGUUGGUUUGUGUUCAGGAGGUGGCUUCUCCACUGGAGGCUUGUGUUCAGGAGGUGGCUUCUCCACCGGAGGCUUGUGUUCAGGUGGUGGCUUCUCCACCGGAGGCUUAUGCUCUGGUGGUGGCUUCUCGAAUGGGGGAUGCUUAGGAUAAUCAGCAAGUGAGGGGGCGGUGAGAACCACCAGGCCAAGCAACACCACUAGCAAAUAUGUAGGAGACAUCUUUGGGUUUGGGCUCAGAUGGUGCAAAACUAGGAGAAUUGGCUAGCCUUUUAUAGCGGAUCGUACCCAAUAAUGAAAUGACACGUGUCAUUAUGACCCAUGUGUAAUGGGGUCGAUUUGGGUCCUACAGUGUUGAAAACUUCGACAUCCACUUUUGGCCUUUUGCUUUCUCUACAGCCGCCUUGCUUUUUCCCUCUUUCCUUUUGUUUUCCUCCUGCCCCAUUCUAUCAACUAAACACAAUUAUGUAGUUGUUUAAUUCUUAAAUGAGAUAUUAUCCGUCAAUCGUAUUAUAUUUUAUCAAGAGAGAACGGAGUGCAAUGUGGCUGUAAUUUUAUCGUUUAGUUUUAUCUCUUGGACCACUGCAUUUUUGUUAAGAGGUGCAAUAAUACACGUCUUUAUCUGCCAUUCAAUAUUUACAGUAAAGAGAGGGCACAAAACUCUUCACUUCGCACCAUAAUUAUUUUGUUUUCUGGACACCCCGGGGCCCUUUGGUUGGUUUGGGGGUCAGAAAGUGAACAUCAUAGGGGGUUUUUCCCUUAUGUGCAUUUGUAUCUGAUGGCUUUAACUCGCCUUGUUACUACAAAGAAACUGUCACAGAUAGGAACUUAUUCCAGGCUGAGUAUCUCCUCAUAGACCCUAUAAAAGAAGACAAGUCAUAAUGAACAUCUAACCUUUGUUCAAUUUGAUUCAAUGCCCCCAUUGUGUCCAUCUCACAAAUCUGAAUUAUUAUAUCCAUUGAAUACAUAAAUUAAUGAAGAAAAUAUGAAACCCAAGAUACAUCUCUGCACAACCUCAACCCUGGUUGCUAUGUUUCCCUUCUAUUCACAUGAUUUGAUGCUAAUUGCCAAACUUGCAACAAGCCCUGAGUUUGACACCUAGUAUCGAUGGGCGAAUUUAAAGUCUCCUCCAAACAUAUAUUCCACAGCUUGAAGCUCACAGAAGAUGUUACAGGCAGGGAAAAACCUUCAGAGUUCGCUACCAAAGAUAAUUAUUAAGGAGAUAUCACAAAGAGAAUUCCAAGGGGUCUGAAUCAAAGACAAAUUGGUCGUUCGUGGGGGUUCUUACUUUCUUUUGGGUAUAACUCACUGAGGGCACUGUCUUUGUUAUUUGCAUUUCACAUUUAGAGUUCUGUUCUGGAAACAUAUAAAAGGAGCAUCAUUUUGUUCUUGGGUAACCCAUAGUCGUGAGUGGGUCCAUUUGCAUGCUACUUAGUUGAAAAGUUGGACCAUUUGCUCCGACGCCUACCUCCCGGAUUCCAUGCUCGGAUAAAACAAGAAUAAAAAAAAUAUUUAUAAUUUACAAAUGGGGGAAAGAAAAAAAUGUCAACAACAAACCAGGAAAAAAGAGUAGUAAAAUUCAUGUCACAUGCUAGUGAGAGAAGGGGUUGUUACACUCACUCGAAGUUCUUUCCAAAAUAUCGCAUGGUAUUUUAUUUUAUGUGUCAGCGCAGUUGUGAAUGGAACGUGCAAAAGUCCAAAUUGGCGUUUUUCCUUUUCCCGUGUAGGAUGGCGACCUUUAAUAAAUAUUUAAAACAAAAAACGAAAAAAAGGAGGGAAAAGGGAUCAGAAAAGAUAAAACAAUGUGUACAAGAGCUCAAUUAGUUUGCAAAUUACUGUUUGGAUUUUGAUAGUAUUUUAUUUGUCCAUCUAUAUUUGAUGGAAAAGAGAAUUUAAGAUAUUUCUGAAACAAAAGCAUUAGUGUAAAACUAAAUUAAGGUAUAAUUAAGUUAGUUCAAUGCAUUAAUUUAAGAAACUUGAUCUAUCCAAAGUACAAAAUUAGAUGAAAUCCAUUUCAAUGGUUAAAAUGAUCAAAAUCAAACUUUUUCUAAGUAUUUUUUAAAAGCAUCAAUAUUAAAAGACAAUUUUAUAUUUAGUCGGAGUUUGGACAAAACCAAAAAGCACACAAAAUCCAAGCGACCAUCUCUAGCUUGGAUAGUCACUUGAUCCCACCUAGAGAUGUGCAUGAGUAAAAGGAUUUGAAAAUGGAAAUUGACUAAAUAUUUAGUUGAUCAAUUAAAUUUGCAAUGUCAUAUGCAAUCCUAAUAGCUAGUCAUCUAAUCAAUUAGGUAGUCAAUCAAGUGUUUGUAAUGACUAUUUUGUACAAAAAACCACAUGUAUAGUUAAAUAUAAUGCAUUUCAUUUAUAAAUCUUCUAAUUCUUGAAUAACGAUCCUAUCAUCCUUUGAAAAUUUUUAUUACACCUUUUUUACUUUUGUUCUAAAACUUACAUAUCACCCUUAAUUGUACCAUGAGAACCUAGCUAUUUUUUUUUUUUUUGUAAUUCAUCAAAGUUAGCUUUUGUAUUCAUUGUUGUAUUAUUUUUAGUAUAACUUAGAAAGCUAGUGUUUUCAAGUGAGUAAAAUUAACUUGUAAAUAUUGUAAAGAUUCAUUGAUAUGUAUCUUAAACUAAGUGUACAAAUUAAAACAUUUGCUAGUAGAUUUUCUCAAAAUUUAGAAUAGAGCUUGAGGCUAUUGAAAUAGGUGGGGUUACACCAAACCACAUCACAUCGUUGUUUGCACCUUUUUUCACUCUCUUUUACUUAGUUUCUCUAUAUUUGUUGUCUAGUAAUAUCCUAUAGGCUUGAUGGGUUAGGGAGCAUCCCUUUGUGAAAAAAUUUCAUUCAAUUCUUAGUUGUAUUACGCAUAUAUAAAAUGCCUCAUUGUUUUAAUGGUAUUCAGUCGUGGCAUCACAGAUAUGGGCAUCUAAAUUUUAAAAGUUUGAAACUUUUGUAAAGCAUGUUGAUAAAAUCCAUGAGAGUUGUGUACUUGGGAAGCAACAUCGAGGUGACUUUAUUUUUUUUUCCUUUUAUAAUGCCACACCUAAGUCCGGUUUCUAAAUGCUAAAGUGAAAGGGUAGGUAUGGACCAUUGAAAUGUGAUCACAACUUUUGGCCUUUUCCUUUCUCUGCAGCCAUGUUGUCUCUUUUUUCUUUUGCAUGAUUUUCUUACCAAAACAGAAUCAUAGACUUGUUUAGUCUCUAAGCUACUAUAUUAUAUCUCGGUGGACUUUUAAGAGUGCAACCGACAUAGAGCACAUGCAAGUGGGCAUAUGGGACAUGAAAUUUCUUCUUACAAAGAUUGCAUGAUUUUUAUAUUAGAGUUGUUCACGUGCAAUGUAUUUAGCUUGUUUUGCAGUUAAAUUAAUUGGAUAAGUAAACAUUGGCAUUUCUAAAUCGACUGUGAAGUGCUUCAUGUACGUGUAAAGUAUUAGAAAUUUCUUUCUUGGCAACUUGUUUUUUCCUUGCCAUCUACUGGUAGGUUUGACUAAAAUUAUAUUCCCUGUCAUGCUAAUUAAUUUUCAUGUGCAUGCUCAAAAGAAGAGUAUGACCUUAGUGCACCAAAAUCACUUUGAUUAAUUUGUGAUAGGUUUUUUUGCAUCAUUUAGAUAAUGUUUAGUUCUAAGAAAAAUUUAUAUAAAAAUGGUUUAUUUAUCUUACAUAUAUAUAUAUAUAUAUAUAUUUUUUUUUUUUUCAUUUUUUUUUCUUCUAUUUUAUUUAUUUAUUUUAUUUUCCUUAUGUUUUCCUCACAUUUUCCGGAACUAAACAUAGUCUUACGAAAUCAACAAUUGCCUUCAACUGAGUAGAUUCUGUUGUUUUAGCAAUGUUAGGCUGCUAACUUGUGGUGGUACGAACCAAAUGACCCAUGUUAAUCUUGGCUUGGUUUGAUUUGGCUCUAUCUCAGAGAGCUAAAGGAUCACGUCAACUCUGGUUUCUACUAUUCAGGUCCAUUCCCAGAUGAACUGGUUCAAAUUUGAGAAAAUGGUAACAGACCUUUAGUGAUGUUGGUUUGGAGCCAGUUGCCAAACCCGCCCUGAGCUUUACCACUAAUGUCAAGGGAGAAAGCCAUUUGAACAAAAACAAUAGCUUCAAGAGACUGAAUCGUGGAUGAAAUCUGAUCCACAUUUCUUCUCAUUUUGGGAAAAAAUGAGAACUUAACUACAAAGAUUCUACUGCCUCAUUCAUAGUGCUUUUCCUGAUCCAAGGUUGGUUCGUUUCCCAAAUUGUGAGGUGCACGUGCCACUCUCACGCUCAGGAGUGUAUCCACGUGGUGGACAUCAGAUGGUGGCUUAAUAUCUGGUGUCGGUGGCUUUACUUUACUAGGAGAGUAGUGUGUCUUCAUCUCAUUCACUGCCGGAGGGUGGCGUAAGCAGUGACGCUAAGGUGGGGCACAGUCAAUAUCAUUUGCAUUUGACCAUUAUAGUUUUCUCCCGGCUUGAAAGUAACCUUAUCGUGAUAAAGGAUUACUAGCACUAGUUCAGAUGACCGUCAUGUUAAUUCGGACCAUGUUUGUGUCACAUUAUCAGCAACCAUGUGUUUAUGGUUCAUGCUAUCUGCAACUAAACUUGAUAUAUAACCAGGUGAACUUCAAUCAAAAUUCUGGAAGUACUCUUGUGAUAGAUGGUGCCUGUCUGCAGAGUCCAUCAAUUGAAAAAUGGAGUGAGUGUAUCUAUAAGAGGGAAGGCUUGGCAAAUGUUCAGUUUUCUGGGAAUUCAACAAGGAUCUAAAAUAGAUUGUUUUCUUUGCCGACUUCAAUGGUUGAAAUUUGAGAAGAUUGUGUCCACAUAUCACAACUAUUACUGGUCCUUCUGUUGCAAUUUAUCCUGUAAGGCUCUAACAUGUCUUCCAAUUCCCACUUCCCUGUUACUCCAGGAAAGCUAUUUCUGUCAUUGUGAAGAAGAAAAGAGAAUGUACAUAUCGAUGCUUUUAAGUGACUGGAGCAUUCAUAUCAGGUGGUCUGCAGCCAUAUAUGCCACUUUGUGAAGGUUGGAACAGUCAAUCACUAGGCUAUAUAUUGGUGUGGCCCAGCCACUUCAAUCAAGGACAAGUCUUCAUACUUAAAGUCAAAUUCUGCCUUUAGUCUCAUUAUAAAUUGCUGUUUAAAUAUUAAGCAAACUUUUGUUUAAUGCGAUUAAGACAGUACUAACUCAAUACUUGUUCUAUUUUUGGAUGCAAAUGCUUGAUGGUUUCAUCAUUGGAUGGGAUAAAGGUGCAUUCAUGAUUAUGAAUACUUGUAGUUAUAUUUUCAUUCUCUUUUUUCUCAAUGAGACUUGUUGGCACAAUGUUGCUGUUCAGAAACCUACCUCUCCAUGGAAAAUAAGUUGCGAUUGAUAGUACUGGAUAUGUUCAAGAAAGCUAAAUAUAGAUAGCACAAAAUAUUAUCGAUAUAAAUAGCAUUAACAGCGUACGUAUGUCUCAAUGCUCAUCAGCUAUAAGCAUGGGACAAACACUUACUAUGAGCAACUUACGUCAAAAUUCCAGAAUAGGACAUAGAAGUGACAGAUCUAUAUAUAUAGAACACUGCAUAUGAGUCACAAGAAAGGAAAUUACGGGUGCAUAGCAGCUCUUAUUUUACAUACUACUACUCAUACUGAUCAAAGUCACUCAGUUGGGAUGGGUGGGAGUAGGAGGUUUGUGGGGUGGCUUGUGCGGAGGAGUUGGCAGCUUCUUUCCAGGACCUGGUUGCUUCUCUGCUGGAGUUGAAGGAGGCUUAAUCUUCCGAGGUGGCUUGUAUGAGUCUUCAGCAUUCUCAGCUGGAGGGUGACCAGGGUUGUGACCAUAAUGUGGUGGCUUCUCUCCCUUAGGUGGUUUGCCAACUGGGGUUGGUGGCUUGUAUGAGUCUUCAGCAUUCUCAGCAGGAGGGUGACCAGGGUUGUGACCAUAAUGUGGUGGCUUCUCUCCCUUAGGUGGUUUGCCAACUGGGGUUGGUGGCUUGUGUUCUGGGAGUGGCUUCUCCCCCUUGGGAGGUUUUUCCAAUGGGGUUGGUUUGUGUUCAGGAGGUGGCUUCUCCACUGGAGGCUUGUGUUCAGGAGGUGGCUUCUCCACCGGUGGCUUGUGUUCAGGAGGUGGCUUCUCCACCGGAGGCUUAUGCUCUGGUGGUGGCUUCUCCACCGGAGGCUUAUGCUCUGGUGGUGGCUUCUUGAAUGGGGGAUGCUGAGGGUAAUCAGCAAGUGAGGGGGCGGUGAGAACCACCAGGCCAAGCAACACCACUAGCAAAUAUGUAGGAGACAUCUUUGGGUUUGGGCUCAGAUGGUGCAAAACUAGGAGAAUUGGCUAGCCUUUUAUAGCGGAUCGUACUCAAUAAUGAAAUGACACGUGUCAUUAUGACCCAUGUGUAAUGGGGUCGAUUUGGGUCCUACAGUGUUGAAAACUUCGACAUCCAGUUUUGGCCUUUUGCUUUCUCUACAGCCGCCUUGCUUUUUCCCUCUUUCCUUUUGUUUUCCUCCUGCCCCAUUCUAUCAACUAAACACAAUUAUGUAGUUGUUUAAUUCUUAAAUGAGAUAUUAUCGGUCAAUCGUAUUAUAUUUUAUCAAGAGAGAACGGAGUGCAAUGCAGCUGUAAUUUUAUCGUUUACUUUUAUCUCUUGGACCACUGCAUUUUUGUUAAGAGGUGCAAUAAUACACGUCUUUAUCUGCCAUUCAAUGUUUACAGUAAAGAGAGGGCACAAAACUCUUCACUGCUCUGCAUGUGUCCCAAAAAUGCGAUUGGACAAAUUAUGAUUUGCAUGCUAAAAAGAGGCAAAUGAGGUUAAUUCGCACCAUAAUUAUUUGGUUUUCUGGACACCAUAAAAAGAUGUUAUACAGGCAGGGAAAAACCUUCAGAGUUAGCUACCAAAGAUAAUUAUCAAGCAGAUAUCACCAAGAGAAUUCCAUAGAGUCUGAAUCAAAGACAGAUUGCUCGCUCGUGGGGGUUCUUACUUUCUUUUGGGUAUAACUCACUGAGGUCACUGUCUUUUUUAUUUGCAUUUCACAGUUAGAGUUCUGCUCUGGAAGGUUUGUUCUGGAAACAUAUAAAAGGAGCAUCAUUUUGUUCUUGGGUAACCCAUAGUCGUGAGUGGGUCCAUUUGCAUGCUACUUAGUUGAAAAGUUGGACAAUUUGCUCCGACGCCUACCUCCUGGAUUCCAUGCUCGGUAAAACAAGAAUAAAAAAAAAUAUAUAAUUUACAAAUGGGGGAAAGAAAAAAUGUCGGAAAAAAUAGUAAAAUUCAUGUCACAUGCUAGUGAGAGAAGGGGUUGUUACACUCACUCGAAGUUCUUUUCAAAAUAUCGAAUGGUAUUUUACUUUAUGUGUCAGCGCAGUUGUGAAUGGAACGUGCAAAAGUCCAAAUUGGCGUUUUUAUUUUUCCCAUGUAGGAUGGUGACCUUUAAUAAAUAUUUAAAACAAAAGACGAAAAAAAAAAGGAGGGAAAAGGGAUCACAAAAGAUAAAAUAAUGUUUACAAAAGCUCAAUUAGUUUGCAAAUUACUGUUUGGAUUUUGAUAGUAUUUUAUUUGUCGUUCUAUAUUUGAUGUAAAAGAGAAUUUAAGAUAUUUCCGAAGCAAAAGCAUUAGUUUGCUCUGUGAUGUCCCACAUCGAAUAGGGGAGAAAGUUUCUGGCGCUAUAUAUGUAGAGGCUCCUCUUAACCAAGUAGAUGCGUUUUAAAACCAUGAGGGCCCCCUUAGGUCCAAAGCGGACAAUAUCUACAUGAUUGGGUGUAAGUCAUUACAAAUGGUAUCAGAGCCGAUCCCCGACCCCGGUGUGGGGGUUUGUUUGGCCCUGUAAGGGGUGUUUGUCUGUUUGACCCCACAAUCCCAUGGGACACAACGAGGACGUUGUGUCUGCAUGGGGGGGCGUUUGUGAUGUCCCACAUCGGAUAGGGGAGAAAGUUCCUAGUGCUAUAUAUGUAGAUGUUUCUCUUAACCAAGUAGAUGCAUUUUAAAAUUGUGAGGGCCUCUUUGGGCCCAAAGCGGACAAUAUCUACAUGGUUGAGUGUAAGUCAUUACAUGCUCCAUGUCAAUUUCAGCAUUUCUCAUAUGUUUCACACAUACACAGAAGAGCAUCGUUUUUUAAAGCAUGCAUUUAUGUUGGAUUAAUUUGGAUUUUGUGGGAACUGGGGCAAGGAUCACAUGGAAGAGAGGUUGACUUUUUUCAGUACUUCAAUGGUUGAAAUAUGUGAAGGCUUGAUUGAUACUAAAGCUUGAAAUUGCGACUCUGUCAUUUGUAAAAAAAUAUGACAGCUUCCAUGCUCUCGUUUGGUUGCAUUGUCCGGUCGAGAGGUGCAAAAAGCAUUCUCUCUCUUCUAAUAGUCUUUUCGUUUAAAUCAAGGGAUUUGCCUUCCCGGUCGAGGUCCAAUAGAGGGUAACGGUCACCUACUAAACAUUAAAUGCUCCAACAACUAGUGAACUGAUCGACCCCAGCUCGACUAGUUGAGGUUACUUUUUGGUUUUCUUGUCUCCCGAGGUUAGAAACCUAUAAAUAGAGAGCUUCACUUCAUUUAUGAGUAAGAGAACACCUAAAUUUAUUUGUUUACCUACUUGUUUUUGCCAUAAAAGCUCUCAUUUCUUUUCUUGGUGUAUUAAAUCUCCAUUUGCAUAUCCUUUAGUGCACCUUUGUGAUUCAUUCUAGCCUUGAGUUGUAUUUAAGCCUUUGUUGAGCUAGGUUGAGAGUUUCAUACUUGUUUAUUGAGUGUUAAAGCCUUCAAGUGAGUUAAAACUUGAAGAGAUUGUGUAAGAGCCCAUUGGAGUCGGAAUCCAAGUGUAAAGGUGAUUAAAAGCUUGGUUGAAGCUUCAAGUUAGUGGAACUCUCACUCGGUUAUGAGCUUGAGAAGAGUGGACAUAGACAAGGCAGUGUCGAACCACUAUAAAAUCUGAGUUUGAUUUCUCUAACCUUAUCUCUUUAUAUUUGCUUCUCUUGUGCUUAAAUUUUUUGUGUUUAAAAAGAAUUUUUAAAAACUCAAUUCACCCCCUUCUUGGGAGUUUUUCUCUUUUAAGAUCAGCUUUUAUUUUCUCAAUUGGUAUCAGAACUAUGCCUCUUGUUUAAGACUUAAUCGUCUAAGAGGAAAUGGCUAAUCCAUCAAGUUCAUCUCACAUUGAAAGUUUUGCAACCAAUAGACUUCUUUUUUUUUUUUUGCGGGAACUGAUUAUCCCUAUUGGAAAACUAAAAUGACUUGGUUUUUACAAUCAAUUGAUUUAGAUGUAUGAGAUGCCAUUGAAGAUGACCUAACUUUUCCUUCAAAACUAGUUGAUGGAGUCAUGGUUCCAAAACCUAAGCAAGAAUGGGAUGAGCGUGAUUGAAGAAAUUUUCAAUUAAAUGCUAAAGUCGUUUAUACUUUGCAAUGCUCUAUGGACAGAAAUGAAUAUAAUAGAAUAUGUCAAUGCAAAUCGGUUAAAGAAAUUUGGAGAUUGCUUGAAAUAACUCAUAAAGGAACAAAUCAAGUUAAAGAGUCAAAAAUCAAUUUACUUGUUCAUAGAUAUGAAUUGUUUUUUAUGAAAGAUAAUGAAACUAUUGUUAAGAUGAUCACUAGGUUCACCAACAUUGUUAAUGGUCUUAAAGCCUUGGGAAAGACCUACAAGGAAUCCGAAAACGUGAUGAAGAUCUUGAGGUCACUUCCAUCAAAGUGGCAUACCAAGGUCACCGCAAUUUAAGAAGCAAAAGACUUGAUCAAGCUACCUUUGGAGGAGUUCAUAGGGUCAUUGAUGACAUAUGAAAUCAAUUUGGCAAAGAAGUAACAAAAAGGUGAAGACAAAAAGAAGAAGAACAUAACUCUCAAAGCUACAACUAAGGAAGAAGAAGUUGAAGAAGAAAAACAAAUUGAAGAAGAUGAAGAUUUAGCCCUCAUCACAAGAAAGUUCAACAAAUUCAUGAGGGGUGAAAGGUUUAGAAGAAGAAGGUUCACUUCUAGAAGAGACUUUUCUAAAAAGGAAUCUUCAUCUAAUGGUGACAAAAAGAGAUGGGAAGAGAAAAGAGACUUGGUGUGUUUCAAGUGCAAGAAACCGGGACACAUUAAAUAUGAUUGUCCUCUCUACAAAAGUGAAGUCAAGAGGAAAAAGAAUAAGGCAAUGAUGGCCACUUAGAGUGAAAGUGAAGAUGAAUCAUCCGAAGAAGAAAAUGAGAAAGAAGUGGCAAACAUGUGUUUCAUGGCAAUAGAUGAACUUGAUGAGGUAAAAUCUAACCUUAGUGAUUAAGAUAUACAUGAUGCAUUUGAAGAAUUGUAUGAGGAUUUUUAAAAACUUAGUUUGAAAAAUAUUUCUCUUAAAAAGAAAGUUCAACAACUUGACAAAGAACUUAGAGAAGUAAAAGAAAAAUUUUCAAAUGUUAAAGUUUCUAAAACUCAUCUUGAAAAAGAAAAUGAGAUUCUAAGAAAGAAAAAUGAAUAGUUGAACUCCUCUCUUUCAAUCUUUUCUUCUAGACAAAAAUCUUUUGAAAUGAUUCUAACUAGCUAAAAAUGUGUUUUUGACAAACAAGGGUUAAGAUUUAAAUCUUCAAAAAAUCAAAAGUAUUUUAAAAACUAUUUUGUAAAGGAAUCCACAAGUGCAAGUCCUUCCACUACUUGCAACUUUUGUGGAAGAGAAUGGCACAUUAGUAGUACGCCCUUUAAGAAAUGGUUCUCAAAAGAAUUUAAAUGCAAAAACUAAAAAAGAUUUGGAUUGAGAAAUCCAAGGUCACUAACCCUCAAGGACCCAAAAAGAUAUAGGUACCUAAAUCAACUUGAGUUUUAUGUUGUAAGGUUCAAAGAAUGAUAAGUGGUUCUUAGAUAAUGGUUGCUCAAGACACAUGACCGGAGAUGAAUCCAAGUUUGCUUUUCUUAAAAAGAAAAAUGGAGGAUAUGUUACCUUUGGAGACAAUGCAAAAGAAAGGAUGAUUGGUCAAGGCAACAUUGGUAAUGGCACAUCCUCUCUCAUUGAAAGUGUUUUAUUAGUAGAUGGUUUCAAACAUAACCUUUUAAGCAUUAGUCAAUUUUGCGACAAAGGUUUUUAAGUGAUUUUUUAAGCAUCUCAUUGCAUCAUCAAGGAUAUUCAAAAUGAUAAAACCAUUUUCAUGGGCCAUAGAUGUGAUAAUGUUUAUGCUAUAAAUAUUUCAAAAUAUGAUGGCCAUGAUAGAUGUUUUUCAAGCAUGCAUGAUCAAAGUUGGUUGUGCCAUAGGAGAUUGAGACAUGCUAACAUAGACCUCAUUUCCCAACUCAACAAAGAUGAACUUGUUAGAGGCCUUCCCAAAAUAAUUUUUUAAAAAGAUAAAGUUUGUGAAGCUUGUCAAGUGGGAAAGUAAAUCAAAAACUCUUUUAAAAACAAAAACUUCAUUUCCACAUCUAGGCCACUUGAGUUGUUGCAUAUGGAUUUAUUUGGUCCCUCUAGGACACCAAGUCUUAGAGGAAAUUCUUAUGCAUAUGCUAUUGUGGACGACUUCUCUAGAUACACAUGAGUCUUGUUUUUUAGUCAAAAGAAUAAAGUUUUUUAUGAGUUUUCAAAGUUUUGCAAUAAGAUUCAAAAUGAAAAAGGUUUUUCAAUUACUUAUAUAAGAAGUGAUCAUGGGAGAGAAUUCGAAAAUAUUGAUUUUGAAGAGUAUUGCAAUGAGCAUGGAAUUGACCACAAUUUUUUGGCUCUUAGAACUCCUCAACAAAAUGGGGUAGUUGAAAGGAAAAAUAGAACUCUUCAAAAAAUGACAAGAACCAUACUAAAUGAAAACAACUUACCAAAAUAUUUUUAGGCCAAAACGGUUAACACUUCUUGUUAUGUUUUAAAUAGAGUAUUAUUGAGGCUCAUACUUAAGAAAACUCCCUAUGAGCUUUGGAAAAACAAAAAACCCAACAUUAGUUAUUCCAAAGUCUUUGGAUGCAAUAUUUUAUAAUAAACACCAAAGACAAUCUUGGAAAAUUUGAUGCAAAAUUGGAUGUUGGAAUUUUCCUUGGUUACUCAACUUCAAGUAAAGCUUUUCGAGUUUUAACAAAAGAACCAUGGUUGUAGAGGAGUCCAUCCAUGUUAUUUUUUAUGAAUCUCCAAGAAAGAGAGAGGAUUGAUGAUGAUUUAGGUUUGAAGACCUCUAUAGGAAGAUUGCAAAUCGAAGAUAGAAGACAACAAGAAGAAAAUGGAGAGAAUCCAAAGAAAGAAGGAUCACCAUUGGCACUACCCCCUCAUCAACAAGCGCAAGGUGAAUCAAGUCAAGAGCUUCCUAAAGAAUGGAAGUUUGUCAUCAAUCACCCACAAGAUCAAAUUAUAGGCAAUCCAUCUAGUGGGGUAAGAACUAGAUCCUCUCUUAGAAAUAUUUGCAAUAAUCUAGCUUUUAUCUCUCAAAUUGAGCCUAAAAAUAUAAAUGAUGUUUUAGAUGAUGAAAAUUGGAUAAUUGCAAUGCAAGAAGAGUUAAAUCCAUUUGAAAGAAGUGGAGUAUGGGAAUUAGUACCAAGACCUUCAAAUCAAAGUGUUAUUGGAACUAGAUGGAUCUUUAGAAAUAAAAUGGAUGAAAAUAGCAUAAUUGUUAGAAAUAAAGCAAGAUUGGUAGCCCAAGGUUUUAAUCAAGAAGAAAUGAUAGAUUAUGAAGAAACCUUUGCCCCCGUAGCUAGGUUGGAAGCCAUUAGGAUGCUACUUGCCUUUGCAUGUUUUAAAGACUUUGUUUUAUAUCAAAUGGAUGUGAAAAGUGCUUUUUUAAAUGGUUUUAUAAAUGAAGAAGUAUAUGUUGAACAACCACCCGGUUUUCAAAGUUUCAACUUUCCUAACCAUGUUUUUAAACUUAAAAAGACACUUUAUGGUUUGAAACAAGCACCUAGAUCAUGGUAUGAAAAAUUGAGUAAAUUUCUUUUGAAAAAAAUGUUUUAAAAUGGGAAAAAUUGACACAACUCUUUUUAUAAAAACCAAAGAAAAUGAUAUGCUCUUAGUUCAAAUAUAUAUUGAUGAUAUCAUUUUUGGUGCUACUAAUGUCUCUCUUUAUGAAGAAUUUUCUAAGUGCAUGCAUAGUGAGUUUGAAAUGAGCAUGAUAGGAGAACUCAACUUCUUCCUUGGACUUCAAAUCAAGCAACUAAAGGAAUGAACCUUCAUCAAUCAAGCAAAGUAUAUAAGAGAUCUUCUCAAAAGGUUCAACAUGGAAGAAGCCAAAACAAUGAAGACUCUAAUGAGCUCAUCCAUUAAGCUUGAUAAGGAUGAGAAAGGUAAAUCCAUUGACUCUAUUAUGUAUAGAGGCAUGAUAGGUUCUUUGCUCUAUUUGACCACUAGUAGACCUUACAUUAUGUAUAGUGUGUGUUUGUGUACUAGAUUUCAAUCUUGUCUUAAAAAAUCUCACUUAAGUGUCGUGAAAAGAAUCCUCAAAUAUUUGAAAGGGACAAUGGACAUAGGCUUAUGGUAUCCUAAGAGUGAUAACUUUGAAUUAAUUGGUUUUUUGGAUGCUGAUUUUGUCAGUUGUAGGGUUGAAAAAUAAAACACUAGUGGCACUUUUCAUUUCUUAAGACACUUACUUGUCUCAUGGCAUAAUAAGAAGCAAAAUUUGGUAGCUUUGUCAACAGCAGAAGCUAAAUACAUAGCAACUGGUUUAUGUUGUGCACAAAUCCUUUGGAUGAAAUAAACACUUAGUGAUUUUGAUUUAUCUUUUGAGCAUAUUCCUAUUAAAUGUGAUAAUAGUAGUGCCAUAAGUAUAUCAAAAAAUCUCGUGCAACACUCUAGGACUAAGCAUAUAGAGAUUAGACAUAAUUUUCUUAGAUAUCAUACACAAAAGGAUGAUAUAACACUUGAAUUUGUAAGCAUAAAAGACCAACUUGCCGAUAUCUUUACAAAACCUCUAAGAACAUUUUGUUGAUAUUAGAGGACAAUUAGGAGUGAUUUCUUUAUGAUCUAAUGUGAUGAAUUCUUGAUGAAUAUACUUUUUGAUUGCAUGAAUUUCAUGUCAUAUAUGCAUCAUAUAGAAAUAUACUUAGAUAAUGGUCAAAUUUCGACCAAAAAUCAAAAUUCCCAUGGCAUUAGGCAUAAAAAUUUUGGAAUUUCAACUGAAAAUGGUAGGAGGAGGAUCACAAAAUGAGAAAGUAUGCAAAAAUUGAAAAAUCAAAACGUUGACCAAGCGGUCAAUCGGACUAGACCGAUCGACUAGUUUGUCGAGAUUUAGGAUUUUUAAGAGACUCCAACGCUUCAAUUUUUGCACCGUUCUCCUCUAUUUCUUCACGGUUUCUCUGAUUUUGUCUUUUAGAGACUAAUUUGAGUGCGUUUUGGAUCAAUUGAAGCAUUUUGGAUUGGAUUUUAGGAAGAUUGAAAGUUAAGGUUUCGGAUUUGGGUCGCCUUCUCUUCCUCUCGCGUGUCACAAUCAGCUUUAGCAUUGUUCUCUUUCCAUUUUCACACACCUAGGGUUUCAGUUGUGAGCAUCUCUCUCUCUUUACCAACCACUACUCCCUUGCUUCUUCCAUAUGGCUCCUAGGCGAGAGUCCGCUACUUCUAGGGCACAAGGCAAGCACCCAACUGAGUCGUCUCAGUCAAAGGCACGUCGAAAAGUGAGAUUUGACAUUGCCUUGUUCAGUUCCAUGGAGGACUACCAACUAUACAAGCAACACUUUGCUUAGAGACGAGUAGUUCCCAAGAGAAAUAUUAAUUUUCCUCAACUUCAGCAUUUCGAAUUUAAGGGUCUAUUUACUAGGAUGGUUGGUUGUCUAUUGUCACAAUUUCGGAGCCGGUUUUCCUGACCUUAGUGCGAGUUUUUUACUCGAGGGCGACUUAUGGCAUGGGUGGCAUGAUCAUUUCUACUGUUGGAGGAGUUGAGAUCUGUCUGGACCCAGAGAGCAUCUGCCAUAUUUUCGAUAUUGCUCUGGUUGGACUCAAAGUAUACAAGUCCAAAAUGUGGCCCAUUGUGCCAGGAUUUGAGCUUAGAGAGGUCAUUCAGAGGAUUUGUGAACUUCCAGACGCCCAGGAGAUGGGCAAACCAUUGCCACACAGUUUGACGGUCAUCAACAGGGUGCUACACCAUAUAUUGUGCUCUAUCUUUCUACCACGAAGUGGACAUUGAGAUGAGGUCUCUUAUUAUGAGGCAUUCCUUAUUGACUCCAUUCUAACGGAGAGACGAAUUCAUCUACUAUGUCAUCAUUCACUAAGCCUCCUCACAGUGACAUACCACCUCAUCAGGCACCUCUUGCUCCUGACCAUGCUCCAUUGAUGGAUUUAUUUACUCAUAUUAGCUCUCUAGGCACUCGCAUGAAGGAGUUUGUUGUAGUUAGUGAUACAUGGUUCUACUCCAUAGAGGAUCGCAUGGAUCAGUAUCAGACUGGCUUCACGUCACAGUUUGAGUAUCUCCAAUAGAGGAUUGAGCAUAUUGAGGAUCACUUGAGCAUGAGAAGAUGAUGGCUUUUCUAUGCUCUGUGUUUCCACCUCCACCUCGUCAACCUUGAUUUCUUAGAGACCCAUUGUUUUCAUUUUGUAAUGUUGCCAAAAGGGGGAGAUAUUUAGGAUCUAGGACUCUAUAGGAGACUUACAUGCAUAUCAUUUUCAUAUCAUUGUUUGGAUCGUACAUAUUGGAUAGUGAUACUUUUUACUUAUAUAUGAUAUGCCUAUAUGUUUCAUGUCUUACAUUGUUUCUUAUUGCAAAUUAUCUCUAACAUGUCUUGAUUAUCUUUUUUUUAACUUCAUAAAUUUUGAUUGUUAACCCAUGAUUGGUUUGAGGGGAAGAUUCUUCUUCUCCUAGAUAACCAAGGUUUGUCAUCAUAAAAAAAUUGGAGAUUGUUAGCCCAAGGGUUCUCCUAAUCAUGUUUUGAUGAUAACAAACCAUGCUUAAGUUACUAAUUGGUUUGAAUUAUAAAGAAUUUCAAGUGUUAAUUUGAAAAUUCAUCAAAGAACCUAAUGGAUGCAAGAUCAAGAUUUUUGGAAGACCUUUAAUCAUAAGAAACAUAUGUAAGAUGAAUGCAUGGGUGCACUUAAGAUUUGCAUAUCAUUUCAUGCAUAUUUGGAAAACACGGUUUAUGCUUUAAAGUUACAUUUCCAUCAAAAUUUGAGAUCCAUCAAAUGAACCUUAGGAAAAAUGUUUUAAAAUUGGCAUAUAAUUUUACCUAAAGACCUUGCCUAAGUGUUAGAAGCAAAAGGACAAAAAAAAUAUAGGUUUUCUGGUCAAAAAUGGUGAACCAGUCAAGGCAUUGUCUAAAUCAGCUCAAUCGGCCAAGGUACCGGUCGAUCGGUUUCCCUUUCCCUGUCGAGAUCUAGUCAAGAGGUACAAAAAUCACAAUCUCUGUCUCUUUCUCUCUUUGUCUAUCUUCCAGUAGUCUUUCCUUCCCGGUCGAGGGAUUUGCCUUCCCGAUUGAGGUCCGAUUGAGAGUAAUAGUCACUUGCCAAAUAUUAAAUGCUCCAACAGUUAGUGAACUGGUCGACCCCCACCUUGCCCAGUUGAGGUUACUUUUUGGUUUUCUUGGCUCCCGAUGUUAGAAACCUAUAAAUAGAGAGUUCCACUUCAUUUAUGAGCAAGAGAACACUUGCAUUUAUUUGUUUACCUACUUGUUCUUGCCUUAAAAGCUCUCAUUUCUUUUCUUGGUGCAUUAAAUCUCCAUUUUGAUAUCCUUUAGUGCACCUUUGUGAUUCAUCUUAGCCUUGAGUUGUAUUUGAGCCCUUUUUUUAGCUAGGUUGAGAGUUUCAUACUUGUUAAUUGAGUGUUAAAGCCUUCAAGUGAGUUGAAACUUGUAGAGAUUAUGUGAGAGUCGAUUGGAGCCGAAAUCCAAGUGUAAAGGUGAUUAGAAGCUUGGUUGAAGCUUCAAGUUAGUGGAAUCCUCACUCAAUUAGGAGCUUGAGGAGAGUGGACGUAGCCAAGGAAGUGUCGAACCACUAUAAAAUUUGAGUUUGAUUUCUCUAACAUUGUCUCUUUAUAUUUGUUUAUCUUGUGCUUAAAUUUAUUGUGUUUAAAAAGAAUUUUUAAAUACCCAAUUCACCCCCCUCUUGGGUGUUUUUCUCUUUUAAAAUUAGCCUUUAUUUUCUCACAAACUAUUGUAGUAUAGUGGUUUUUAGGUGUCAUCCAUUAGGAUGAAUUGUUCUCGGUAAUUAAGGCGUGAAUGAGAGGAGAAUUAAUGAUUGUGAUUAAGUAAAAUUGAUUUGAAAAUUCAUGGUGAAAAAUCAAUUUAACAAUGGUUUCUAAUUGAGAAAAACAAUGAAAUGUGAAAUAAAAUAAAAUUAAUAGGAAAUGAAAUUCUCGAAGUUAGAAUUUUCUAAAAAACAAAUUCCAUGGUGAAUGGAUGUUGAGAUCUAAUUUUCAUCAAGUUAGAUUGAAAACCGAAAUUUUCAUAUAAACUGAUUUUUUAUUUAGUUUUAGGUCUAGAUUUAAUUUCCCUUAAAAUUAGGUUAUUUAAUCCAAGAAAUCAAUUCAAAUCAUAUAUUCAAUUCAUCUUAAAUUAUCUUCCAAUUAUUCACACAAUGCAACUAUUCAAUCUCAUCAAAUCUAGCUUUUAAGAAUUUAAUGAAUCUACCUAGUUUGCAUUGUAAUAGUCAUCCAUGACAAUUUGAAGAGAAAAAUAAUUCAAUUAAUCAAUCACUUGGAUCAAAUUACCUUUGCAAUUAAAGUUCAUUUCUCUAAUUCACCACAGAUUUUGUCUCUAGAUCCUCCUUUCUCAAAGAAAAAUGAGAUUUAGCCACACAUGAUUGGAGAUUUGGUCUCAUAAGGCAUGUUUAGCUAGUGAUAAAAUGAGAGAAAAUAAAGAAAAAUAGAGAAUUCGAUUAAGAAAGAAAAUCUAAAAAAUUCUACAAUUAGAAAUGUCCAAAAAGCUUUUUCAUGAGAAAAUCAAGUUUCUAUUUAUAGGCCAAGGUCAAGUGGACACUUGACAUCAUCUAAGAGGUCUUCCGGAAGCUUCUUCAUCAAGAAAUCUGGAGUUUAAUAAUAAAAUGGUCAUUUCACAAGAGCUCAAACAAUUUCGCAUGAUUAUGUGAAAUAAAAAAUGCAACAACAGCAAUUUACAUCUUCUUGGAGCAUUUCGCAUGACUGUGUGAAAUUUUCACAUGAUCAUGUGGAAUCGACUUGACAACUCUCAUUUAGCCUACAACAUAAUUCCACCUUUUGGUCCAUUUUUCAUAGUCAUGCGAAAUGGAAAUAUUUGAUUUUUAAGUUUUCUUUUGUCAUUUCUUUCAUUUCCUUCUCUUGAUUCCACUUCAACUACCUCCGAAUCCUGGUCCAAACCAAUUGCAUUACUUCUUUCAUUAUGCAUUUGGAUCAUCAUCAACAUUAUUUGUUCUCUUCAAUUUGAUUCAUCUCUUUUGUCACCAAUUUAUCAAAAUCAUACCUUGAAAUGACUCCAAAACUUCAUAAAACUUGUUAGUAACUCUUGCAAGGGCAACAACAUAUUAAUUAAGUGUUUUAGGCAUAGUUACUACUCAAAAGAUGCGAAACUCAUGAUAAUUAUUAUAUAAAAUAUGCUCUUUUUGAGUAGUAAUCAACUUUCUUGCAUAAGCAGACCUUUUAGGGUGGAGUACUAAAGACCAAUAUGCUUGUCCUUGUUGUAAUAAAGAAACUUGCUCUUAUUGAUUGCACCAUGGGAGAAAAUUUUGCUACAUGAGUUAUCAUCAAUUUCUUCCCACCAAUCAUAGAUUUAGACGUGACAAGAGGCCUCUUAAUGGCAAGGAGGAACUGACACUCACACUUAUACAAUUAUCGGGCAUUGAUGUGUUGCAACAAUUAGAAUAACUUACACCAAUUAUGUUGGGGAAGUCACAAAAGGCAAACAUGAAAACUAAAAGGAAAAAAGAAAAAUGUUACAUAUCACCACAACUGGAAAGAAAAAAGUAUUUACUUUCAUUUGCCAUAUUGGAAAGCACUUAUUUUACAUCAUAAUAAUUUAGACAUAAUGCAUAUUGAGAAAAAUGUGUGACAAUAUAAUUGAGACAUUGUUCAGUAUUGACGAAGAAACAAGGACAACCUAAAUAGUCAUCUCGAUUUACAAGCUCUAACUAUUAGAAAUGAGAUUCACCCAAUAGAAAGCAGGACCAAAUUUAUUUUGCUUGCAACAUGCUACUCACUCACCCCAAAUGAGAUUAAGGAAUUUUGCAAGUUUUUGAAAUCAAUAAAGGUCCCCAAUGGCUAUUCUUUCAAUAUCUCUCGUUAUGUGCAACUCAAUGAAAGGAAGAUAUAUGAGCUCAAAUUGUAUGAUUGUCAUGUCCUAAUGCAACAACUUCUCUCACUUGUAGUUCGUGGAGUUCUACAUAAGAAUGUUUGUGGAGUUAUCAUAGAAUUGCGUAAUUUUUUCAAGCAAUUGUGCUCAAAGGUGUUAGAAACAAAUCACUUACACCAACUUGAGAACAAUAUUAUUGUCAUACUAUGUAAAAUGGAGCAAAUAUUUCUUCCAUCAUUCUUUGAUAUUAUGGUGCAUUUACUUGUGCAUCUAGUAAGGCAAAGGUUGCAAGACUUGUGCAAUAUUGUUGGAUGUACCUAAUUGAACGAUAUUGUUAUAAUUUCAUAUGAAUCAUUUAAUUUUAUUUUAUAUUAUGUUCAGUUCAUUAACAUGUACAUUGGUCUACAUAUGGAUGAUGAUAGGUACCUAAGCACUUUAAAGUCAUAUGUGCGUAAUAGAACUUUUCUAGAAGGUUCUAUUGUAGAAAGGUACCUUGCAAAAGAAUGUACAACAUUUUAUUCUAGGUACUUGAAUGAUGUGGAAAUAAAGUAUAAUCACAAUGAUAGAAACUUUGUUGGUUUCAACACUAGAGGAGAUGAAAGGGGUUAUCUUUAAACAUAUUGGACAUGCAUUGGGAAAGCCCAUAUUUCAUUAACUUAGUUCAAAAGAGUGGUCACAAGCACAUUUAUAUGUGUUGACAAAUUGCGAAGAUGUCAUACCAUUCAUUGAGUAAAAAAUUUAUUUGAAUUUUAAUUAAAGCUCUAGUUUAUAUCCUUAAUCAAUGUUUUUUAAAUUCACAAGGAGCACAAGCAAACCAUCAAGGCUAGACCACAUAUACGUGUUUGAGACGUAGAUUUAAUUCAUAACAAGGAAUUUAUCAAGUGGUUUGAAAGACAUGUAAGUAUAUUCCUUAUUAUAAGGGAUUUAUUUCACAUUAUGUUUAUAUUGAAUCCAAACCUAUUAUUGAAUUGUAGGUUGAACAAUUACAUAAUGAAGGUCAUAUAUCUGAACACCUUCUCACAUUAUCAUGUGUUCCAAAUUCAUUAGUUACAUGCUUCAAAUGAUAUAUUGUCAAUGGAUUUAGAUCCCACAUUAAAGAACGUGAUAAAAAAGUUUUUAAAAAAAGACUCAGAAUAAUGGAAUUGUUGUAGUUGCAAAAACGUCAAGCUUUACAAGUGCAUGUGAUAUGAGUCCAAUUAUUAGUGAUGCUCUCUACUAUGGUGUUCUAACUAAAGUUGUUGAGUUACAUUAUCUUGGUGAAAAUAAGGUUGUUUUAUUCGAGUUUGAUUGGUGGGAUGUUACAAAUAUUGGAAAAUUGAUAAAAGAUGAUGAGUACAAUUACACAUUUGUUAACUUUGCAUGAAUUCUAACCACGAACGAACGAUUUGUACUUGCAUCUCCAGCAAAGUAAGUGUUCUAUGUGAAGAAUGCGAAUGAAUCAGAUUGGCAUACUAUCAUGGAGAUGCAACCUCAAGACCUCUAUAAGAUGAACGGGAUAGGAUCCAAUGGUGAUUUUGAACCAUUUCAACAAAGUGAACUACAUGAUCACUAAUAUAUCUCAGAUUUAGUUGAUGAAGAUAUAAUCAAGUGGAACAAAAGUGAUGUUUUAGGACUAAUCAUCCUAAAAAAUAUUGUAGUUUCUUAAAAAAAAAAUGAAAAUGAAGAAGAUAAUUGAACCUUUGUCAUACUUUAAAAAGCAACUAUGCAUUGUUCAUUUUGUAUGUUUUGGUUUUCUUCAUUUAAUUUCCUGAUUUUUGUGAUUCAAUGUCAUAUUAUUGAUCUUGAAAUAUUUUUCUAAUUUUUCAUUCUACGAUGGUUUCAACAAGGAUGACAUCAAGUCAAAAAAGGAAAUGUGGUCCCACACACAAUAUUGCAUUACAGGGAUUAAGGUCAGGGAAGAAGGUAAAAGUUGCAUUUAAUGAGUACAAUCAAUUGGUUAAACAGAAAAAUGGAAAACACUUAUCGAGCUACAUAGGGACACUUGUAUCUAACCAACACAAUGUACCUCUCCAAGCUAGUGAUUGGAAAAAUGUUCCAAAUGAUGCAAAAGAGAAAGUAUGGCCUUUGUUUUGGUAUGUUGUAUUUCUCACUAUAUGAUGUCAUUUCACUGUUAUUCUAUUUUGUGACUAACGUUUGAAUCAUAUGUAAGAAAAAUUUGAAGUAGAUAAAGACUGAAAAGAUUACAUGUUGGGUAUAGCCUCAAAUAAAUAUAGAAGCUAUAAAAAUAUGAUGAAUGCAAAAUACUAUGACCCUUGGCAUAAGGAUGCAUGAGGAGAGGUUAAUACAUAAAUCACCAUUUGUCUCUGAUGUUGAUUGGAAGUGGCUUGUCUCUGAUGCAUAAACCAAAUCCCCCACUGAAUGUUUGAUAUUUGAUAGCAGGAAAAACACACCCGCAGCUAUACACCUCCAUCAUUCAGAUAAUUAUAGUGGGGGAGAUGAUUCAUGGUUGCCCUUAUACCCUUUAUUUGCACCAUCUAUUGAGAUUCUUUAUCAUGGCCAGGUUUUACUGCAGCAAUAAGAUAUGGUGGCAACAAUUUUAUCUAUAGGUGCGGUUCCAGACCGCCUCCAUAGGUGCGGUUCCUGACUGCCUCCAUAGGUGCCUCUUCUUGUAAUGUUUGUUCUGGGAAUUACACUUGAAAGCCUUAUCGUGAUAAGGGAUUACAAACACUAGUUCAGAGGACAGCCAUGUUAAACUUCCACUAUGUUUGUGUCACAUUAUCAGCAGCCUAGUGUUUAUUGGUCAUGCUAUCUGCAACUAAUAUAACCCGGUGAACUUCAAUCUAAAUUCUGAAAGUACUCAUGUGACAGAUGGUGCCUUUCAGCAGAUAUCAUCAAUUUAAAAGUAGUGUGUGUGCCUAUAGGUGGGAAGGCCUUGGCAAAUGUUCAGUAUUCCGGUAAUUCAAGAAGGAUAUAUCUAAAAUAGAUUUUCUUCUUGCCCAUUUCAAUAGUUAAAAUUUGAGAAGAUUGUGUCCACAUCACACAAAUAUUAUUGGUCCUUCUGUUGCAAUUUACCUCUGAACAUGUCUUCCAAUUCCCACGGUCCUGUUACUCCAGGAAAACUAUUUCGGUCAUAUUGAAAAAAAAAAUAUUAAAGAAGGUACACAUGCUUUUAAGUGGACUGGGGCAUUCAUAUCAGGUGGUCUGUAUCCACAUAUGCCACUUCGUGAAAGGUGGAACAGCCUAAUCACUAGGCUAUUUAGUGUGGCCCAGCCACGUUAAUCAAGCACAAGUCUUCAUACUUAAAGUCAAAUGGUGUCUUUAGUCUCAUUACACAUCGCUAUUUGAAGAUUAACUCAUCACUAGUGUAAUGCGAUUAAGACAGUCCUAACUCAAUAUUUGUUCUAGUUUUGGAUGCAAAUGCUUGCUGGUUUCAUCAUUGGAUGGGAUAAAGGUGCAAUCAGGACUAUGAAUACGUGCAGUAAUACUUCAUUCUCUUUUUUCUCAAUGAGACUUCUUGGCACAAUUUUGCUGCUCAGCAACCUACCUUUCCAUGGAAAAUCAGUUGUGACUGAUAGUAAUGGAUAUAUUCUAGAAAGCUAAACAUAGAUAGCAUUCAAUAUUAUCGAUAUAACAUUAACAGCGUAUGUCUCAAUGCUCAUCAGCUACAAGCAAUGGACAAACACUUUGAGUAACUCACAGCAGUCAAAAUUCCUAAACAGGACAGACGUGACAGAUCUAUAUAUAGAACACUGCAUAUGAGUCACAGGAAAAGAUAAUACGGGUACAUAGAAGCUCUUAUUUUACAUAUUACUCAUACUGAUCAAAGUCGCUCAGUUGGGAUGGAUGGGAGAAGGAGGUUUGAGGGGUGGCUUGUGCGGGGAAGUUGGCAGCUUCUUUCCGGGAGCUGGUUGCUUCUUUGCUGGAGUUGAAGGAGGCUUAAUCUUCCGAGGUGGCUUGUAUGAGUCUUCAGCAUUCUCAGCAGGAGGGUGACCAGGGUUGUGACCAUAAUGUGGUGGCUUCUCUCCCUUAGGUGGUUUGCCAACUGGGGUUGGUGGCUUGUUUUCUGGGAGUGGCUUCUCUCCCUUGGGUGGUUUGCCAACUGGGGUUGGUGGCUUGUGUUCUGGGAGUGGCUUCUCCCCCUUGGGAGGUUUUUCGAAUGGGGUGGGUUUGUGUCCUGGUGGUGGCUUCUCUCCCUUGGGAGGUUUACCAAUUGGGGUCGGUGGCUUGUGUUCUGGGAGGGGCUUCUCUCCCUGGGGAGGUUUAGUGGGUGGCUUGUGUUCUGGAGGUGGCUUCUCCACCGGAGGCUUAUGCUCUGGUGGUGGCUUCUCGAAGGGGGGAUGCUCAGGGUAAUCACCAAGUGAGGGGGUGGUGAGAACCACCAUGCCAAGCAACAACACUAGCAAGUAUGUAGUAGACAUCUUUGGGUUUGGACUCAGACAGUGCAAAACUACGAGAAAUCGCUAGCCCUUUAUAGCGGCUCGGACCUAAUACUGACAUAAUAUAAAAUAAAUAUUAUAUUUUAUCAAGAGAGAACAGAGUGUAAUUUUAUCAUUAAUACCGAUCGAGGCCAAAGAAAGAAGACCCAUAAUCCAUUUCCCACAAGCAUACACAAUGCAGCUGUAAUUUUAUCAUUUACUUUUAUCCCUUGGACCACUGCAUUUUUGUUGAGAGACACAAUAACACAUUUUUAUCUGUCAUUCAACAUUUACAGUAAAGAGAGGGCACAAAACGCAAUUAGAUAAAUUAUGUUUUGCCUGCUAAAAAGAGGCAAAUAACUUUAUUUGCAACAUAAUUAUUUUGGUUUCUAGUGACCCCGGGGCCUUUCGGUUGGUUUGGGAUCGGAAAAUGAACAUCAUAGGGGGGGUUGUGCCCUUAUGGGCAUAUAUAUCUGAUAGCUUCAACUGGCCUUGUUCCUAGAAAGAAAUUGCCAAAGAUAUAAACUUAUUCCAGGCUGAAAGUAGAUGAGAGUCAUAAUGAACAUCAACCUUUGUUCAGUUUGAUUCAAUGCCCCCAUAGUGUUCAUUUCACAGAUCUGAAUGAUUAUAUCCGUUGAAUACAUAAAUUAAUGAAGACAAAUAUGAAACCCAAGAUACAUCUCUGCAUAACAACCCCAACCCUGGUUGCUAUGUUUCCCUUCUUCUAUUCACAUGAGGAUACUGGUUAUAAUUGUCAAACUUGCAACAAGCCCUUUGACACCUAACGUCAAUGGACGAAUUAAAAGUCUCCUUCAAACGUCUAUUUCACAGCAUGAAGCUUAUAAAGGAUGCUGACAACCUUCAGAGUUAGCGACAAAAGAUAAUUAUCAAGGAGAGAUAGUUCCAUGAGAAUUCCAAGGAGUCUGAAUCAAAGACAAAUUGCUCACUCAAGGGUUCUUAUUUUCUUUUAGGUACAAAUCUCUUGAGUGUUGUUAAAGAAACACGUCACUGUCAUUUUGAUUUGCAUUUAACAUUUCACUUUUGUUCUGGAAGGUUUGUUCCGGAAACAUAUCAAAUGAGCAUCAUUUUCUUCUUCGGUGACACAUGGUCGCGAGUACGUGGGUCCAUUUUCAUGCCACUUAGUUGAAAAGUUGGAAAGAAAAAACAUGCCAACAAGAAGAUAGUGAGAGAAGGGGCACUUCAAGCCUUUAACAUGAACAAACAGUAAAUAAAAGAUGUUUCUCCACUCAUAAAAGUGUGUUAGAUAGCAAUAUAACGAAUCACAUCCAAAAUCUUUACUAGGCUCAAACAUAAAGAAGACUCAUUUUUAAGAAAAGAUAAAAAUGGCAUUGUCUGAUAGUAUCCAAUACACGAGAUGGCACUUAAUUUGUACAAGAUCUGUCAAUGCUGACGCACAUUUUCUGAUUAAAAAAAAACUGAUCAGUCAAAAGCAAUGAAGAGAAGUGAUGACAAUGAAUGAUGCUUCCAAUAUUUUCACCCCUUAUAGUGUUCUUCAUGAUUCAGAUAUAUAAUUGGAAAUAGAACAACCCUAUGCCAUACAUUCGUCUAAGUAUGGUGUCUAAUUUUUUGUGUCAGCGGUUGCGAAUGGAGCGUGCAAAAGUCCAAAUUGGCGUCUCUCCAUUUCCACAUAGGAAGGUGACCUUUAUUGACAAAUACCCAAUAUUUGUAGACAUUCCUUAAAUAUCAUAACUUCUUGUUGAUUUGAAAAUCAUUUUUCAACUACCAUGUUUUAAUAAAUAUUUUUUAAAAUGUAUUUUUAUCAAAGUCCACCAUGAUGGAUAAUAUUCACCAUGCAAUAAUUAAUAAAGUACAAACUAAGCGAAAUGAAAAGCAUUUUCUUUGCUUUGAGUUGAUUUUGGUUGCAUUGAGUUGAUUUUGGUUUCAUGGUUUUUUCAACUCUUAUUUUGAUUGGAAGAUGUCAAGAAAAGAAAACAUAAAGAAAAAUUAAAAGGGAAAAAAGAAGAAAAAUAAAAAAAAAUAGAUUUAAAAGUUAAUAAAUUAUUUUUUAUAUUUAUUUUAAUUCAUUUCACUUAUUUUUCUUUUACUAUAUAAAAUUUAAAUAAUUUAAAUUUUAUAAUUAAUUUAAUUACAUUUCAUUUUCUUCUAUAUUUAAAUAUUGGAAAAAUAUUUUACUUAAUAUUUUUUUCUUUAAUUUCUUUGGCAUUUUGGGAACCAAACUUAGCCUUUAAAAUAAAAAACAAAAAAAAAAUGAAAAUAAGGAGGGAAAAGUGAGAAAAGAUAAAAACAAUAUGUAAAGGAUUUGAAAAGUAUUAGUUUGUAAUUACUAUUUGGAUUUCAAUAGUAUUUUAUUUGUCUUUCUAUAUUUCAUGUAAGAGAGAAUUUAAGAUAUUCCCCAAGGCAAAGCAUUAGUUACCUGCAAUCAGUGGUGAUAAGGCUCCAAGCCAAUUUUGGGCCCCAUAUCUUAAGACAGUACAAUUUCCAUUUCAACAUUUCUGAUUUCUCAGAUGUUUCACAUACCACAGAAGAACAUUGUUUGUGAAAAUAUGCAUUUAUGUUGGAUUUUGUAUGCUGUGGGGACUGGGGCAAGGAUCAUAUGGAAGAGUGGUUGACUUUUUCUGUACUUUAACGGUUGAAAUAGGAUAAGCACGGGCAUUUGUGAGGCUUAAUUGAUUUUGAAGCCUGAAAUUGCGUUUCUGUCAUUUUGUCAAAAAAAUGGCAGAUUCCAUACUCAUAUGUUUGGCCUGUGGCCAUGUACAGAUGCCAUUUAGUGACCAGUUUGUAACUGUCAAUCGUUGCGUUUUGACUCUGCCUCAACAACAUCUGCCAUUGACGGGUUUUCAUACUUGCAAAUCAAAUAGUCUUUCGUCCCAUCAGGAAUUUCGGUUUAAAUAUUAUUAAGCAUACGUUUGGCUGACAAUCAUUAUCCAGUUCAUGAUUUGGUUUCUUACCCUUAAUCAAUGGUUUCUAAGUGAAUAUAUGUAGAAGGAAAUCCGAAGUGUAGACAGUAGUAUCGAUAACUCUCAAUAUUCUCUAUAUAAUAGAAUAAACAGCGUCAUAGUGAUCGUCGCCUACAAGCAAGGUACAAAUACCAAAACGAGUGACUCACAUAGACAUCUCCCAACAAGAUGUAGUAGUGACUGACACAUGGACACAAUUAACUCGUAGAAAAGGAUAAGACCAUUGCACAGCAGCUCUUAUUUUACAUACUACUUAUGCUAACCAAAGUCAAUUAGUUGGGAUGGGUGGGAGAUGGAGGUUUGUGCGGUGGCUUGUGGGGCGGAGUUGAUGGCUUCUUUCCAGGAGCUUCUGGCUUUUUCAUCGGAGCUGAAGGAGGCUCAAUCUUAUGAGGCGGCUUGUAUGAGUCUUCUUUACUCUCGACAGGAGGGUGGCCAGGGUUGUGAUCAUAAUGUGGUGGCUUCUCUCCCUUAGGUGGCUUGCCAACUGGGGUUGGUGGCUUGUGUUCAGGAAGUGGUUUCUCUCCCAUGGGAGGUUUAGCAAUUGGGGUUGGUGGCUUGUGUUCUGGGAGUGGCUUCUCUCCCUUGGGAGGUUUAGUAGGUGACUUGUGUUCUGGAGGUGGCUUCUCCACCGGAGGCUUGUGCUCCGGUGGUGGCUUCUUGGUUGGAGGGGGCUUGGGGUAAUCAGCAAGAGAUGGGGUGGUGAGAACCACCAGUCCAAGGAACAACACUAGCAAGUAUGUGGGAGACAUUUUUGAGUUUGGGCUGAUCAGAUGAUGCAAAACUAAAGCAUUACGUGACCUUUUAUAGCAUGUAGCUCCCAAUACCCACUAAGUAUUGUGGGGUCCAUUUGUGCCCUACGGGGUUGAAAACUUAGACAAUUGGGCAAGGACCCACCUGACUAUGGAGGACUAGUGAGGUGUGAUCAUAGCUUUAGGAUUUUUCUUCCUCUGCAGCCGUCGUGCCGUUGGCAUGAUUUUCUUAAUCUUAAAUAAAGGCAUAGUUAUAGAGUUGUUUAAUCUCUAAAUGGGAUUUUAUAUAUAUCUUCAGAUAGCCAUUAAUAUAUUUGAUGAAGAAAGAAAGACAAGUGCAUACAACAUGUAUACGACUAGCUUUCAUGGAGUUCAUUUAUGAUCAGUUUUCCUGUACAUGUAAACCAGGAUCAUAUAUAUGUUUCUGUUCCACAACUAUUUUGGAAUCUUGUUUAUCAGUUUUUAUCAUUAUAAUGUCACAUAGGCUGCCAACUUGGGCGCUAAAAGAACCAGUUGGGCUAGUUCGUUUCAGAAUUUCAAUGUGGAUUCAGGAAUUGUUUUGUAAGAUAUGCGAAAUAGUAGAGGGAUGAAUAGUGUUUCAUUAAUAAAAGUGUCCUGUAAAUUAGAAGGUGUCAUAGAAACUAUAAUCAAUAAAUAACUUUUUUUCCCCACGGGUGGUGUUUCUUGUGGGGAUCAGUGACUGGUUUAGGUUCACCCAAAAUGAGUUCAGACUAAAAUUGGUUUGAGUCAAUGCCGUGUCUCUUUUUUCCAGAAAUCAACUAUUUUAUGCAUUGAAUAAAUCAUACAAAGAAAAUAUGAACGCCCGCAAAACCUAAACCCUGGUUGCUAACUUUCUAUGUUUCAGUUCUAUUCACGCAAGAAUAUUAGUUUAAGUUUGGGAAAAAUGGCAACUUACCUAGUGAUUACUUGGUUUUGGUUUGCGACUAUUUACGCAACCAACCAUGAGUUUGACUUUAACGUCAUGGGUUGAAGCCUCCUACAGGAAGGGAGAAAGCUCCACAGCUAGCUCCAAAAGAGAAUUAUCACAUUGAUAGCUCCAGAGAUUCCCAAGGGGACUGAAUCAAAGACAAGUUCCUCACUUUUUCUUCUUUUGAGGCCAAAUAUGAACCAAGGAUCACACAACCUCAUUCAACUUCAUAAGUUUGAUUUCAUGCAGUUGAACACUGGGUGAAGGCCAUGACAAGAAUUGAUUCAAAAAUUCUAUCACUCUUUUAAGUAAUGGAAGAUUAUUAUCUCUGAUUGGCAUCACAACAGCACAUGCUCCUAGAUCUUUCUAGACACUCCAUGCAAUGAAAGCACAAUGGAUCUUGUAACGAUAGAAACUAAGCCAUGCUACAGUACUAGAUGAUGAGGUAAAACUAGUAGACACGGGUGGCAGCCUAUAUGGGAGGGACACAAGUCUAAUUGAUUUGCAUUUCAGCAUUAUAGAUAGGUAUGUUUUGGAAGAUUUGUUCUGGAAAUACCGCACCAAGUAGGAUUCUUUUUCUCUUUAGUGGGUCCACUUGCAUGCCAAUUAACGAGUUGAAAAGUAUGAGCACCUACCUCGUGCUCGUGGAACCGAAGGUCAGUGAAGUGGGGCUCCUUUUGGCCUCGUGUAAACUUGAUUCAGAAGUGAAGUUAAUAGUCUUCCAUUCAGAUGGAUACAUGGGAAUUUUUCUCUUUUAUUUAUUUAUUUAUUUUUUUUUUGUGUGUGUAUGUCAAAGGAUAAUGAAUGAAGCGCGUUAGCUUGUUUUCUGACUGGAACCGCAGAUGUCCAAAUUGGAGUUCCUUCAUUUCUUACUUAGGAUUGUUACAUGUAUAAACAAGGUAUAAGAAAUAUGCCAACGUGUCUUGAGGAGUUAUUGAUUAGAAAUAACAAGUCACCCGACUGUAGAGUUCCAAGAUUUGAAUCUUCAGACCCUAUAGCAGCCUCUGGGGUACGUGGCAUCCUAUAGCAUAUUAAUGAAGGCUUUUUCGAUUUAGACUUCACAAUACCAAUUAAUAUGUAUGCACAAAAUGGAGAUGACCCCAAAAAAAACAGAAUCGCCAUAGUUUAUGAGGUUAAGGUGAUUCUCCACUUAAUAUCUACAUUAGCUAAUUAUGUAAAUCAAAUGAACUUCUAUUUUUCCUUUUUUUUUUUGGUUUAUGUCAAAUAGUAGCCCAUAAUUAACCCAACCAUUAGCCUGUUUGAAUUGAUUUCACAUGCACAAUGUUGUAGUAGUUCAUAUUUUGAAUUUUAUUUUUACAAAGGUAGUUAAGGAAAAUGAAGUAUAAUAAUUAUAAAAGCAGACUAUAUACACUACAAUAAUUGUUAGAAUGGUAUCUCAAAUUCUAAUUUAAAAUAUUAUUUUUUGUAAAAGAAAUAUUAUAUAGAAUAUUUCCUAAUUUUAUAAAUGAUUAUAAUUAGAUCUUUAUAAAAUAAGGAAAGUUGGUAAGAAUAUCUUUAUAAAUAUUUUAGGUCAUGAGAGAAAGAAAUGGGAUAAAAAUGUGAUGAAGAGGUGAAAUAAGAGAGUUGAUUAGGAUAUAGAUGUGAAGAAGAAAGGGAUUCAAUAUAUAUAUAUCUUUCAAUUACCACAUUAAAACCCUGUGAACCUUUUAUAUGGUUUACUUUAUUUUUAUAUUCCUCCUUUAAUAUAUUUACAUUAAUGCUUCCAUUGGCACAACAAUAACGAAUUACAAAUACAAGCAACAAGUCCCAUGUUUUAUUACCAAAAGCAGGUAAAAUCCACCUAAUAUAUUACAAUAUAUUCAUCCAAUAUUUUAGACCAAUUCUUCACCAUAAAUAUCAUAAUGUGGCUUUUGUUCUUUCUUAAAUUUAAAUUGAAUUGUCUUAUAUCAAUUUGUUUGUGAUUUUUUCAUUAACUUCACUUUCAUUUGGUUAUCUUUGGUUUUUGAAAAGUAUUAAGGAAUUAAUUAACAAAAUAAUGUUAAGAAAAAUAAUUUUCUCUCUUUUGAUUUUGAUUUUGUAGUAGAAAAAUAUAAUUAAAAUUAUUUAAAAAGUAUGUAAUUUUAAAUUAUUUAAUAUUUAGAUAAAAAAAAUAAGUCUAAUGAGUUUAAAAUAACAUAUAAAAAUAAUUUAUUUAUUUUAAAUUUAUUUUUUAUUUUCCAUUAUGUUCUCUUUCUCUUUUACUUUUUCAUAUUUUUUCUUACGAAGAAUCAAACACAACCUCAUAUUAUAUGUCAAGUGUUUGUCUAUAUUUGAGCAAUGUUAGAUACGGCCAUGGAUUCAUCAAACUAAACUGAUUUUAAUAGAUACUUCACAAAUUGAUUUAUACACUAAAUCAUUGGAUAGCAAUGAUGCAUUGGAAUUAAACGUAGGAUGAAGCUCGAAGAACACUGUUUGUGUAACAACAUAUUUAUGAAAUUAUGCAAAGGAUGAGCUUCGGGGUAGUAGUACAAGGUCAUUAAUGGAGAGCCGUGUUAAACCUUGAUUGUGAUUGGAUUCCGUUAUCAGCAACAGCAACCUUGUUUGUAACCUUGAAAGUCAUUCUGUCCACAUCGAAACUCCAAUUUGACGUUUGUAAUUACCAUUCCUGGAGUGUUCCUUGAUUGAAAUUUAAAUAAUAAUUGCGGCCCACAAGGAAUAUUUUCGAUUCUGUGGGAAUUUGACAAGGUUUGUUAGAGAAGACUGGUGACAUGUUGACUUCAAUGGUUCAAAUAGGAGACGUAUGUGGAUUUGGGGGGUUUAAUUGAAACUGAGUCCCUAUGGCUUUUUAAUAUUUGCAUUGAGCAGUCUCCAUGUGACUUCCUAAUUCCCACCAACCCUCCUGUCCAUGCUGUGAAACUAAAUUGUAAUUUAUCAGCCUUUGUCAAUGGUUUCUAAAUUAAAGAUAUAGACCAUGCAUGUACUUUAAUAAAAGCAAAUCUAAAGUGUAGAUAGCAGCAAUGGUGACACCCAAUAUUCUCCAUAAAAUAGAAUUAGAAUAAGCAGUGUUACAUUGUUCAUGAUCACCUACAAGCAUACAAGAACUUCCAUGAAUAACUCAUAGCAAUUGCCAACAGGGCGUCGUAGAGACUCAUACAUAGAACACUAUCCACCCAGAGGAAAGGACAAGACCAGUGCGCUGCAGCUCUUAUUUUUCACAUGUAUACCACCACUCGUAAUAACCAAAUUCACUCAGUUGGGAUAGGUGGGAGAUGGUGGUUUGUGGGGUGGCUUGUGGGGAGGAGUUGGAGGAGGCUUUAUUUUCUGAGGCGGCUUGUAUGAGUGUGCAGGAGGAUGCCCGGGAGUGUGACCAUAAUGUGGUGGCUUCUCUCCCGUAGGUGGUUUGCCAAAUGGGCUUGGUGGCUUCUCUCCCUUAGGAGGUUUACCAAUUGGGGUUGGUGGCUUGUGUUCUGGGAGUGGUUUCUCUCCCUUGGUAGGUUUGCCAAUUGGGGUUGGCGGCUUAUGUUCUGGGAGUGGCUUCUCUCCCUUGGGAGGUUUGCUAAUUGGGGUUGGCGGCUUAUGUUCUGGGGGCGGCUUCUCUCCCUUGGGAGGUUUGCCAAUUGGAGUUGGCGGCUUAUGUUCUGGGAGUGGCUUUUCUCCCUUGGGAGGCUUGCCAAUUGGGGUUGGCGGCUUAUGUUCUGGGGGUGGCUUCUCUCCUUUAGGAGGUUUGCCAAUUGGAGUCGGCGGCUUAUGUUCUGGAAGUGGCUUUUUUCCCUUGGGAGGUUUGCCAAUUGGGGUUGGCGGCUUAUGUUCUGGGGGUGGCUUCUCUCCCUUGGGAGGUUUGCCAAUUGGAGUCGGCGGCUUAUGUUCUGGGAGUGGCUUCUCUCCCUUGGGAGGUUUUGUUGGUGGCUUGUGUUCUGGAGAUGGCUUCUCCCCUGGAGGCUUGUGCUCCGGAGGUGGCUUCUGAAAUGGCGGGGGCUUGGGGUAAUGAGCAAGAGAUGGAGUACUGGUGAGAACCACCAUUCCAAGCAACAAUACUAGCAAGCAUGUGGGAGAC
rnacentral:lncRNA from 1 species